GAUGAACGCUGGCGGCGUGCCUAAUACAUGCAAGUCGAGCGAACGGACGAGAAGCUUGCUUUUCUGAUGUUAGCGGCGGACGGGUGAGUAACACGUGGAUAACCUACCUAUAAGACUGGGAUAACUUCGGGAAACCGGAGCUAAUACCGGAUAAUAUUUUGAACCGCAUGGUUCAAAAGUGAAAGACGGUCUUGCUGUCACUUAUAGAUGGAUCCGCGCUGCAUUAGCUAGUUGGUAAGGUAACGGCUUACCAAGGCAACGAUGCAUAGCCGACCUGAGAGGGUGAUCGGCCACACUGGAACUGAGACACGGUCCAGACUCCUACGGGAAGCAGCAGUAGGGAAUCUUCCGCAAUGGGCGAAAGCCUGACGGAGCAACGCCGCGUGAGUGAUGAAGGUCUUCGGAUCGUAAAACUCUGUUAUUAGGGAAGAACAUAUGUAUAAGUAACUGUGCACAUCUUGACGGUACCUAAUCAGAAAGCCACGGCUAACUACGUG
rnacentral:rRNA from 1 species